ACUUGUCAACAAAAGUUUUUAAAGAUAUGAUUUUUUACGAAAGCGUAUUAUUUGGCUAAAGCCUUAGCAAUAAUAAAAUUUAAAAAAAGGAAGUAGACCAAAAAGUGUCGAAAACAUCCGCCCCAAACCGAAAGCCAAAGAAGUGUCUUUGCCAUUGUCCAUUACCACGGGCUUAACUUUUUGGUUAGGACUACACCCGUCUACCCAAACGAUUCUUUUGUGGCCUUUAAGACUGCCAGAGUUCCUAAAUUUUGUCCCUCGAAAUUUCCACAUGCGUUCCCUUUUUUCAGACGCACUGCGGUCAUUUGCAAGGCUUGGCAACAUACCCCACCACCUGUGCAAAACAAUCAACAAGCAGCACGACGUUCCUACACCCCCAAAGAUAAUGAAUGAUUCGUUUCGCUUAACCGUAACUAAAGUUAUAGUUAUGCUGAAAAUAUCGAACCUUUUUUUCCCAUUUUUGCAUCGAAAUUGGUCGUAGAAAAGAGGAUUAGCAAUAUCAUCAUGCUAACACCAUUAGAGCAAUGUAAUUUGUUAAUUUCUUAAAACUUAAAGAUUUGGUACAUAGAGUGUGUUUUUUACAUCCGUUGCUCUUAGAGUAAAAGCAACUUUCGUUUAACAUAAAACUGCAGGCCAAAAGCAAACACAGUUGGCUAAUGUAUUGCCUCCGGGUCGCAAAGCCCCGCAGCUGACCAUUGGAUAUUGGCCAAACCCCAAAUUUUACCACACUCUCGGCCCCAAGUAGUUGCAACUUUUAAUUGCGCUCACGGAUUUACUGGCAGCGCUCUGGACAAGGCCAAGACAAUGGAUAAAGCUGAGGCCCUCGGCUCAACUUCAACCCUAACUUCGACUGCGCGUAGACAAAACUACUAAAUGUCAAAAGUGUCAAAAUUUUCUUAGAAUUAUGUCUAGCGAACAUCAAAAGUUGCCCGGGAAAAGUGCGCCAUGUUGCUGUUAGCCGGCAAAAGUUGCGGUGGCUAAUGCACUGCGAGCAAUGUAAUGUAGAAAAUGAAAUAAUUUUCAUUUAUCAUAGAACUUUGAAGUACGAUUCACAGAACAAAUAAGCACAAUGUAUUGUUCUUGAAUUGUUAGGUUAGUUUAUUCAGUAAAAAAUAUUUUUGGACUAAUAUAGAAAAAUGCAAUUUCGAUAAAACGUUCAUUCUAGCCUUAAAAAUUAUUCUGUGUAUUGCAUUAAAAAAUUCA